CCCUCAUCUCACCCUCUUGCGCCGCCAUCAUCGUUUUUGUUCGCGCCCGAGCGGCUGCCCGCCAUGGCCAUCGUCGUAGCCGCGGCCAGCACGCUCGCUGUCGCCUGAGAAGAGGUGCAGGAGGACGGACGUACUCCUCUACUUCGUCUACACCACCGGAUCGACGCCGUAGAACUCCAACGCCGCUGCCCGCUUCAUCUUCAUCCUCGGACGCCGUCGGACCUCCUCGUCAAAUUCGCCGCCGUCUGCAGCUCCUAACCUUCCACCGGCCUUUCUUGUGCCCCGCGAUGUUGGAGCCCAGGAUCCAGACGCCACCGUCGACGACGACUCCUACUACCCCGGAGGUGCCUACUACUACGUGCAGCCCGCCGACGACGACCAGGAGUAGUUAGGAGGAUCCCAGGCAGGAGGCCUGCGCCUCGUUCGAUCUGUAUCCCAGUUUGUGCUAGUCUUCUUAAGGCAAACUUGUUUAGCAUAUGUCUGUACUCAGAUAUUGUUGCUUCCGCUGACUCGUCUAUGAUCGAGCACUUGUAUUCGAGCCCUCGAGGCCCCUGGCUUGUAUUAUGAUGCUUGUAUGACUUAUUUUAUUUGUAAAGUUGUGUUGUGAUAUCUUCCCGUGAGUCCCUGAUCUUGAUCGUAC
rnacentral:rRNA from 1 species